UCGAGAAUCUUCGGCAAUGAGCGCAAGCUUGACCGAGCGACGCCGCGUGCGGGAUGAAGGCCUUCGGGUUGUAAACCGCUUUCGGUUGGGAGGAAAUCGCUAGGGGUUCUCCCCUAGUGUUGACCUAUCUUCGGAAGAAGGACGGGCUAAGUUCGUGCCAGCAGCCGCGGUAAUACGAACCGUCCAAACGUUAUUCGGAUUCAUUGGGCUUAAAGGGUACGUAGGCGGCCCUGUUAGUCGGGUGUGAAAUCCCUCGGCUCAACCGAGGAACUGCGCCCGAUACUGCAGGGCUUGAGGGAGACAGAGGUAAGCGGAACUGAUGGUGGAGCGGUGAAAUGCGUUGAUAUCAUCAGGAACACCAGUGGCGAAAGCGGCUUACUGGGUCUCUUCUGACGCUGAGGUACGAAAGCUAGGGGAGCGAACGGGAUUAGAUACCCCGGUAGUCCUAGCUGUAAACGAUGAGCACUUGAUUGAGGGCCCCCCAUAGGCUCUCGGUCGAGCGAAAGUGAUAA
rnacentral:rRNA from 1 species